rnacentral:rRNA from 1 species
UACGUAGGGGGCAAGCGUUGUCCGGAAUUAUUGGGCGUAAAGAGCGCGUAGGCGGCCAAACAGGUCAGCUGUGAAAACUCGAGGCUCAACCUCGAGACGUCGGUUGAAACCGUUUGGCUAGAGUCCGGAAGAGGAGAGUGGAAUUCCCGGUGUAGCGGUGAAAUGCGCAGAUAUCGGGAAGAACACCCGUGGCGAAGGCGGCUCUCUGGGACGGUACUGACGCUGAGGCGCGAAAGCGUGGGGAGCGAACAGG